CCAAUGGUAUCAGUGGUAGGGGAGCGUUCUAAGGACAGUGAAGUCAGACCGGAAGGACUGGUGGAGUGCUUAGAAGUGAGAAUGCCGGUAUGAGUAGCGAAAGACGGGUGAGAAUCCCGUCCACCGAAUGCCUAAGGUUUCCUGAGGAAGGCUCGUCCGCUCAGGGUUAGUCAGGACCUAAGCCGAGGCCGACAGGCGUAGGCGAUGGACAACAGGUUGAUAUUCCUGUACCACCUCUUUAUCGUUUGAGCAAUGGAGGGACGCAGAAGGAUAGAAGAAGCGUGCGAUUGGUUGUGCACGUCCAAGCAGUUAGGCUGAUAAGUAGGCAAAUCCGCUUAUCGUGAAGGCUGAGCUGUGAUGGGGAAGCUCCUUAUGGAGCGAAGUCUUUGAUUCCCCGCUGCCAAGAAAAGCUUCUAGCGAGAUAAAAGGUGCCUGUACCGCAAACCGACACAGGUAGGCGAGGAGAGAAUCCUAAGGUGUGCGAGAGAACUCUGGUUAAGGAACUCGGCAAAAUGACCCCGUAACUUCGGGAGAAGGGGUGCUUUCUUAACGGAAAGCCGCAGUGAAUAGGCCCAAGCGACUGUUUAGCAAAAACACAGCUCUCUGCGAAGCCGUAAGGCGAAGUAUAGGGGGUGACACCUGCCCGGUGCUGGAAGGUUAAGGAGAGGGGUUAGCGUAAGCGAAGCUCUGAACUGAAGCCCCAGUAAACGGCGGCCGUAACUAUAACGGUCCUAAGGUAGCGAAAUUCCUUGUCGGGUAAGUUCCGACCCGCACGAAAGGUGUAACGAUUUGGGCACUGUCUCAACCAGAGACUCGGUGAAAUUAUAGUACCUGUGAAGAUGCAGGUUACCCGCGACAGGACGGAAAGACCCCGUGGAGCUUUACUGUAGCCUGAUAUUGAAUUUUGGUACAGUUUGUACAGGAUAGGCGGGAGCCUUUGAAACCGGAGCGCUAGCUUCGGUGGAGGCGCUGGUGGGAUACCGCCCUGACUGUAUUGAAAUUCUAACCUACGGGUCUUAUCGACCCGGGAGACAGUGUCAGGUGGGCAGUUUGACUGGGGCGGUCGCCUCCUAAAGUGUAACGGAGGCGCCCAAAGGUUCCCUCAGAAUGGUUGGAAAUCAUUCGUAGAGUGCAAAGGCAUAAGGGAGCUUGACUGCGAGACCUACAAGUCGAGCAGGGACGAAAGUCGGGCUUAGUGAUCCGGUGGUUCCGCAUGGAAGGGCCAUCGCUCAACGGAUAAAAGCUACCCCGGGGAUAACAGGCUUAUCUCCCCCAAGAGUCCACAUCGACGGGGAGGUUUGGCACCUCGAUGUCGGCUCAUCGCAUCCUGGGGCUGUAGUCGGUCCCAAGGGUUGGGCUGUUCGCCCAUUAAAGCGGUACGCGAGCUGGGUUCAGAACGUCGUGAGACAGUUCGGUCCCUAUCCGUCGUGGGCGUAGGAAAUUUGAGAGGAGCUGUCCUUAGUACGAGAGGACCGGGAUGGACGCACCGCUGGUGUACCAGUUGUUCUGCCAAGGGCAUAGCUGGGUAGCUAUGUGCGGAAGGGAUAAGUGCUGAAAGCAUCUAAGCAUGAAGCCCCCCUCAAGAUGAGAUUUCCCAUAGCGUAAGCUAGUAAGAUCCCUGAAAGAUGAUCAGGUUGAUAGGUUCGAGGUGGAAGCAUGGUGACAUGUGGAGCUGACGAAUACUAAUAGAUCG
rnacentral:rRNA from 1 species